UGCUCUUUCAAACACCCACACUCAUACAUAUUCACUUCCUUUGCAUCGUGUCUGUCUGUUAACACUUUGGAUAAGAUGUAAGUGAAAUAGCUGCUCUUUUUUUUUAGCUCAUAUUUGUUUAUGCAUCACUAAACCCCGCACAGUUUUUGCAUGCGGAAUUAGUUAGAAGAGUUCCUGGUUGCAGUGCGCUCAUGGAUGUACGGACAGCUGUCACUGGAUUACUGUGAUACAGAAGAAAACUUAAAAACUUGAUGAUUCUCAAGCAAGUUCUGCAGUUAUAAGAUUCUUUUUUUUUUUUUUUCUACGUUGAUUCUUGAACAUUUUCAAGACUACACAUCAUAUAUAAAGAUCAUCUGAAAGUGUCCCCUGACUGUUCAACAGAACAGCUGUCAGUCUCACAAUGCGGGCGAGUAUCUACAGCUUCCUGUUAGCCCUGGUUCUGGGCUGUAAUGUCACUGCAGGAACAAUCCUUAAAGUAUCUGAGGAGAAACAGCAGGUCACUCUGUCUUGUCCUCGACCUGUGGAGGGUAGAGCGACGUGGAGCAGAGACAUUAAUGGAAGCAAAGUUGACUUAAUUACAGUUGCUGGUGAAAGGGACAUCAGACACAAUGACCCAGGCAAAAGAUACAAUUCAAUAGCAGAUAAAUUUAAGUCACUGAUCAUUCACAGAACUGUUGUCUCAGACUCUGGAACAUACUUCUGCAACAAUGAAUCAGCUGCAGAACUGACGGUGAUCCCAUCAGGAACAAUUACACGCAAUGCUACAGAGAGGACCAGCAUCACUCUGCAAUGUCCUCCUGGUGUUGGAGG